rnacentral:rRNA from 1 species
AUCGGCACCCAUAUCACCCUGCAGCCCAAGACUGGUCGCCCACUGAAGCUAAGCAGGGCUGAGCUCCUGGGGAAACUAGGUGCUGCUG